rnacentral:tRNA from 1 species
UAGAAUAAAGUGUUAAGCAUAUUAACCUUUGAAGUUAAAGGGUUAUUUCUAA